GUGAGCUUAAUUCAGUUGGUAGGAUAUUGCAUAUGAUAUGCAGGGGCCACGGUUCGAAUCCUGGAUAUCCCA
rnacentral:tRNA from 1 species